CAACUUUCAACAAUGGAUCUCUUGGCUCUCGCAUCGAUGAAGAACGCAGCGAAAUGCGAUAAGUAAUGUGAAUUGCAGAAUUCAGUGAAUCAUCGAAUCUUUGAACACACCUUGUGCUCCUUGGGUCACCUAUGGAGCAUGCCUGUUUGAGUGUCAUAA
rnacentral:rRNA from 1 species